AUCCCCACCCCAGGCAACUCGGGACGAUCUGCGGAGACACUCAGCCCGAAAUACGAUUUGUCUACCUGGAUAAGUGGAGAUCCUUUAAUCGUGUUGAUCAGGAAUCAAAAAAGGACAGACAAGAGACAAAAAAAGCAGUCAGUAGAAGAUUUGGAAACAAAGAGACCUGGUCAGUGUGAAGAGGAUCUGCGUGACGUGGGGUUACCCUGACACUUGGACCUCUGGUUUGUGUCAGUGUGGGAGCAUAGCUGAGGCAGCUUCUCAGCUGACAUGACUGUUACAGUGCUCGAGGACAUCCCCACUAACCCUAACCACGCACGCAAACAGGCAAGUGUACAAGUCUAAACACCAAUCAUUACAGACCAGGUGGCUAGGUGGGUACCAGCAAUUUGAAAGAAUUAAUGGG